rnacentral:rRNA from 1 species
AUUGAACGCUGGCGGCAGGCCUAACACAUGCAAGUCGAGCGGUAGCACAGAGAGCUUGCUCUCGGGUGACGAGCGGCGGACGGGUGAGUAAUGUCUGGGAAACUGCCCGAUGGAGGGGGAUAACUACUGGAAACGGUAGCUAAUACCGCAUAACGUCGCAAGACCAAAGAGGGGGACCUUCGGGCCUCUUGCCAUCGGAUGUGCCCAGAUGGGAUUAGCUAGUAGGUGGGGUAACGGCUCACCUAGGCGACGAUCCCUAGCUGGUCUGAGAGGAUGACCAGCCACACUGGAACUGAGACACGGGCCAGACUCCUACGGGAGGCAGCAGUGGGGAAUAUUGCACAAUGGGCGCAAGCCUGAUGCAGCCAUGCCGCGUGUAUGAAGAAGGCCUUCGGGUUGUAAAGUACUUUCAGCGGGGAGGAAGGCGAUAAGGUUAAUAACCUUGUCGAUUGACGUUACCCGCAGAAGAAGCACCGGCUAACUCCGUGCCAGCCGCCGCCGUAACAC